rfam:Trichosporon asahii var. asahii CBS 8904 mitochondrion, complete sequence, whole genome shotgun sequence.
GCCGGUAUAGUUAAAUGGUUAUAACAUAAAUCUUGUAAAUUUAAGUUAUUGGUUCGAUUCCAUUUACCGGUA